rnacentral:rRNA from 1 species
CCCCUAGACGUUCUGGGCUGCACGCGCGCUACAAUAAUACGCACAGCGAGUAUCACCGAGCUCGAAAGGGCAAGGUAAACAAUAGAAAAGGUACUGUAAUGGUUAUAGAUCCUUGUAAUUAUUGAUCUUCAACGAGGAAUUCCUAGUAAGUAUGUGUCAUCAUCACGCACUGAUUACGUCCCUGCCCUUUGUACACACCGCCCGUCGCUCCUACCGAUUGGGUGAGCCGAUGAAACUCUCGGAUGUAGGCUAGUCAUAGCCCGCAGAAGAGAUUUGAAUCGUAGCGCUUAGAGGAAGGAGAAGUCGUAACA